CCUACGGGAGGCUGCAGUGGGGAAUAUUGGACAAUGGGGGGAACCCUGAUCCAGCCAUGCCGCGUGUGUGAAGAAGGCCCUCGGGUUGUAAAGCACUUUCAGUGAGGAAGAACGCCUGGUGGUUAAUACCCAUCAGGAAAGACAUCACUCACAGAAGAAGCACCGGCUAACUCCGUGCCAGCAGCCGCGGUAAUACGGAGGGUGCGAGCGUUAAUCGGAAUUACUGGGCGUAAAGCGCGCGUAGGUGGCUUGAUAAGCCGGUUGUGAAAGCCCCGGGCUCAACCUGGGAACGGCAUCCGGAACUGUCAAGCUAGAGUGCAGGAGAGGAAGGUAGAAUUCCCGGUGUAGCGGUGAAAUGCGUAGGGAUCGGGAGGAAUACCAGUGGCGAAGGCGGCCUUCUGGACUGACACUGACACUGAGGUGCGAAAGCGUGGGUAGCAAACAGGAUUAGAUACCCUUGUAGUC
rnacentral:rRNA from 1 species